GCCAACGUGGCAUAGUGGUUUGAGUGUUGGACUAUGACUUUGGAGACCAGGGUUUGAAUCCCUGCGUGGCU